AGAUUGAACGCUGGCGGCAGGCCUAACACAUGCAAGUCGAGCGGUAGAGAGGUGCUUGCAUCUCUUGAGAGCGGCGGACGGGUGAGUAAUGCCUAGGAAUCUGCCUAGUGGUGGGGGAUAACGUUCGGAAACGGACGCUAAUACCGCAUACGUCCUACGGGAGAAAGCGGGGGACCUUCGGGCCUCGCGCCAUUAGAUGAGCCUAGGUCGGAUUAGCUAGUUGGUGAGGUAAUGGCUCACCAAGGCGACGGCCCGUAACUGGUCUGAGAGGAUGAUCAGUCACACUGGAACUGAGACACGGUCCAGACUCCUACGGGAGGCAGCAGUGGGGAAUAUUGGACAAUGGGCGAAAGCCUGAUCCAGCCAUGCCGCGUGUGUGAAGAAGGUCUUCGGACUGUAAAGCACUUUAAGUGGAGGAAGGUUGUAACUUAAUACGUUGCAACUUUGACGUUACCGACAGAAUAAGCACCGGCUAACUUCGUGCCAGCAGCCGCGGUAA
rnacentral:rRNA from 1 species